GCCGGGUGCGGUGGCUCAUGCCUGUAAUCCCAGCACUUUGGGAGGCAGAGGCAGGAGGAUUGCUUGAGCUCAGGAGUUCAAAACCAGCCUGGGCAACACAGCAAGACCCUGUCUCUA
ensembl:misc_RNA Metazoa_SRP Metazoan signal recognition particle RNA